GGAGGGGGCCGCGCGGCGGUGGCGCCGGGGCGGGCGCGCGUCCGCGGCGGUGAUGGCGGUGCGUGAACGCGCGGCGGCAGCAAUGGCCGCUCUGGAGCGGCGGGUGCCGAGUCUCGAUGACUUCGCGGGACAGAGCUGGAGCUCGUGGGUGGAACGGGCCGACCUGCCCGCGGCCGAUGGGGCUGAGCUGGAAGAGAGUAACAAAAACAUGAAGAAGUUGGAUGCCAUGACCCUCAUUAAAGAAGACAUGUCCAUCUUCGGGCACUGCCCUGCCCAUGACGACUUCUAUUUGGUUGUGUGUAACCACUGCAGCCAAGUGGUGAAGCCUCAAGCUUUCCAGAAGCACUGCGAAAGAAGACAUGGGCCCCUCAGCAAGCUUUACGCCUGGGCCCCACCCCCACCUCCAGCCCCUGCCAGCUCUCAGAAAUGCCAUGUAGUGAAUGGGCAGGGCCCAGCUUGUAGGGCCCCGGGUUCCACCAAAACCUCCUCCAGGGAGAAGGGCCAGGGGUCCCGGAGCCGUGGCCACCCGCCUCCUGAGAAGACACAGAAGGACAACUUCUGCCUUUUCGUGCCUGUGGUGAAUCUGGAGAAGAUGUCCAGUCUCCCGAAGCCCGAUGGACAUGGAAUCAGGGUGGCCCCGCCCUCUGCUUUCCUCAGCCAGCCUGGUGGCCUCACCAAGGACUCCCCUGGGAAAAACCCCAUGGCACCCCCUUCUAAAGAACCUCCGGGGAGAGAGAGCAUCGAGAUGACCCCCAGCGAGGGCCCCAGUCACCGGGCUGAAGGCAGCCCCCCUGAAAAGGAGCCUGGUGGGGCCAGGCUGCCCCCCAAAACCCAUCGGAAGAUGGCCCGGAAGGAGUGCGACCUCAACAGGCAGUGUGGGGUAAUAAACCCAGAGACCAAAAAGAUCUGUACACGCCUGCUGACCUGCAAGAUCCACUCGGUGCACCAGCGCCGGGAGGUCCAGGGCCGAGCCAAGGACUUUGACGUGCUAGUGGCAGAGCUGAAGGCCAAUUCCCGCAAAGGGGAAUCUCCCAAAGAGAAGAGCCCAGGGCGCAAGGAGCCCACUCUUGAGCGCCCCUCCCAGGAGCCCCCCUCCUCAGUCCAGGUUGUGGCAGCGGCCGCCCCCAGCAGCACCUUCUCUGCUCGCGCCAAGCAGACCUACCCAUUCUGUGCACUGCCCAGGUCCCGGGCCUCCUCUGAGAGUGAGUUGGAUGAUGAAGGCCCCUGUGGUGGUGAUGGGGACCCAGGCCUGUUCCCCUUUCCCCUGCCCCGGGGUGGGGCCCAGGCCUCCAGCGAGGAGAGUGAGGAGGAGGGGACAUCUGACGACCUCCACCUCCCCCCUGACUGCCAUUAUGCAACCCGGCCCCCGCGGCCACAGGCGUUCUGCACCUUUGGGAGCCGGCUGGUGAGUCCAGGAUGCUACGUGUUUAGCCGCCGGCUGGACCGGUUCUGCUCAGCACUGAGCUCCAUGCUGGAACGGCACCUUAGCUCACACAUGUGGAAGAAGAUCCCACCCGCGGCUGAGCCUCCGUCCCACCUUGUCAGCUCCCCACUGUCUGCUCCCCUGAGCCCGUCCUCUACAGGCAGCUGCCCCCGCCUUCCAGGCCUGCCCCCCAGACCUGCCUGCCCAGCCUCCACACCCCCUGCCAAGGACAGCCUGGUCCCCAGCUACCCUGCAGGCUCCCCCAGUGUGGCCGCGGCCUGCAGCCAGGCAGAAUGCAUGGGGGGGGCCCAGGCCAUCACCUCACCACUGCCUGCCAACACGCCAUCCCCAUCCUUCAGCAAACUCCCGCCUUCGAAGGCCAGCAAGUCGUCCAAAGGCAAGGACGGGGUCGAGGUGGAGGCCCCUUCUCGAAAGCGAAAGUUAUCCCCCGGCCCCACCACCUUUAAACGGACCUGCAUCCUGGAGCCCUCUGGAAAAGGCAAACCCUCUGGCUGCCGGGGCCUCUCGGCCAAGACUAAAACAGCCCUGGGCAUGGGACUCAAUGGGACGGUGGGGCCAAGAGUGAAGCGGGCAGGGCCUCUGGACUGUCGGGGCUCCCUUCAUCAACCCCCGACACCCAUCAAGGCUUCUCAGCUGGACAGCCGGGGAGCAGCCGGACACCCAGCCAAGGCCCUGCCCACCAACUGCCUCUCUGAGGAGGAGGUAGCCAAGAAGCGGAAAAACCUGGCCACUUACUGCCGGCCGGUGAAGGCCAAGCACUGCCAGGCCGGCGCCCGUGCCGAUGCGGCCUGCUCCGUGCGCCGCAAGAAGCCGGGUCCUGCCAUGGCCUUUGAGGAGAAGUGUUCUACACUGAAGGUACCAGCCCAGCUCUCUGGAGAGCAUGGGCAGGGAGAGAUCAGGAUGGACCAGGGUAGAGCACACAGUGGGAACCCGGCACAGAGAAGGUGCUAAGUGUUUGUGCAGGGAAGGGAUUCUGAAAGGGGAAAUUGAGAGAGUUCCGGGGCCGUCUCCUGUAGGGAGAGGUAGGUCAGCUCUUUAAAAGGUGACCCAGCUUUUGCUUGAUGGGCCUUCCCCCAUCUGUCUCUCCCUUGAGCUGCCUGUCCCCUGCCCCCACACCUCCUUCUGUUUUAACAAAAGGGCCACUUUCUGAUCUGGCUGUGGCCUUCACACCAGGAACUGGAGCCACCUGUGUCCCCCAAAGGAAAGGAAGCUGGACUUCAUGAACUCUGAUGGGAAAGUCGAAAGCCCAUUAACAAGAAAGUGCCUGCCCACCACGAUGGAGCCGCCAGCACCUCCUCCCCUCCAGAUCCGGGCCCCAGGCUGCUGCCGCUUUUUAUAACUUUAUAUUAUUUUUUUUAAGAAAAAAAAAACUCUUUAAAAUACCUCAA